rnacentral:piRNA from 2 species
GCAGUGUCCUGUGGAUUUAGCAAGGCUGCU